rnacentral:rRNA from 1 species
GUGCCAGCCGCCGCGGUAAUACCGGCAGCCCGAGUGAUGGCCGAUCUUAUUGGGCCUAAAGCGUCCGUAGCUGGCUGCGCGAGUCCGUCGGGAAAUCCACUCGCCCAACGAGUGGGCGUCCGACGGAAACUGCACAGCUUGGGACCGGAAGGCUCGAAGGGUACGUUCGGGGUAGGAGUGAAAUCCCAUAAUCCCGCACGGACCACCGAUGGCGAAAGCACUUCGAGAGGACGGACCCGACGGUGAGGAACGAAAGCCAGGGUCUCGAACCGGAUUAGAAACCCUUGUAGUCC